UACAGAGGUCUCGAGCGUUAGGCGGAAUCACUGGGCUUAAAGCGCGUGUAGGCGGGUCGUUAAGUGCCUUGUGAAAUCCCCCGGCUCAACCGGGGAACGGCUGGGCAUACUGGCGACCUUGAGCCACCUAGGGGCGAGCGGAACAAGCGGUGGAGCGGUGAAAUGCGUAGAGAUGUGGAGGAACACCAAUGGCGAAGGCAGCCUUCUGGGCCAACACUGACGCUCAUGCACGAAAGCGUGGGGAGCAAACAGG
rnacentral:rRNA from 1 species